CACGGGAUUGGGCGGCCCCUCUCUCUCCAGUGAAAAUAUGUCCUAUCUCUUCUCUCCCCGUUCCUCUUCUCUGGCCGCCGCCUCCGCUUCCCUCCUCCCUCUCGGUCGCCUCGUCUCCUCCGCCGCCGCCACGUCCUCCUCCCCUGCCACCACCCUCUCCAUCCCUGCCUCUCCUCCUCCCCUGCCACCACCCUCUCCAUCCCUGCCUCUCCUCCUCCCCUGCCUCCGCGCACCCGGCAACACGGCCAGACCGAUGGAUGGGGUAGGCGAAGAGGAGUGGCAGAUCCGCCUCCUCUUGGGCGGUUGUGCUCUUCUUUGUUGAGAACUUGCCGCCUGUUGCGCCCGCGUCGCUGCCGUUCUUGCGCCGGUGCUGCUGCCGUGGACGGCUUGGCUUUGGCGCAAUCUCUGUUCUUUCUCACCCAUGCGACUGAUCUUCUAUCUGCUGCUGCCGCGCGCCGUGCUUCUGGAUCUAGGCGAGCAGGGCGGCAUGAUCUUCUUGGUGGGUGUGGAGGAUGAGGAGAAUGGCAGUGAGGGAAGGAACAGCGAGGCUGGAGUUCCAGACGGUGCUGGCCAUGGUACCUGUCCCCAAUCUAGGUUGCCAAUAUGCAGCCUCCUUGAUUUAUGGUUUUUUAAACACACAUAUGCAGACCUGAGGAAAAAGAGAAGAGGGUGAAUCUUGAUGAAAAGUUUGAACAAAGUUCGAAGAUAUAAAUCUAAUUGAUAUAUUGUCGAUGGGGAUUAAGUACUGUAAUGAUAUACCUGAGAAUUUUGAUGAUAUAUCUGCUACCAGGUUGAAUAUUGACCACAAAUUAAUUUUUGUGUGUGCUUCUGCUCAUUUAAGUGCAUAAUUUGGUCACAAACCUCCUGCUGUAGCUACGAAGUUCAUUGUGUGAUGCCUACAAGUUAUUGGUCUUAUUUUUGGUGUAAAGCUGCAGGCCGAGUUCAGAUUGUUCUUUUGACAGAAAUGGAACAGGUAAUGCUACAGCCUAAGCAUUGUAUAGUAUAAAUUCAAAGGUCAUGUAAUAUUUUACUUAGGUUCAUUCAAAUAUCUGGAAUUGACAUGCAUAUGUUUCUUGUAUGUGCACACAUUGUUGGUUGUAUCUUAAUAUGAGUUCUUUAUGUUGCUUGCCUAAAUUCAGAAGUGAACUUUUGCUGUAUAUUUGGUCGAUGUGUGUCCUGUAAACCGUAAACUUACUAGGUGUACAUGUACAUGCGUAUUUGUUACACUAUUAUCAUAUAUAACACUUCCAGAUCAGAAUAUACAGAUAUCUCCUUUUUACAUAAAUAAUCGUGAUUGUUCUCAUACAAUUUGGCAUUUCAAGAAUAUCGCAGCCACACAAGCUAAAGGUUCAGGAAGUUUAGGGAAAGAAAAGUUCUUAUUGACAAAGAUGGUGGUAUGGAUAAGUCCCUAUUCUCAUUGUCACUGGUACUUCAUUUUUCUUAUAUUUUGAUGCUUAUUUUUUCGUAUGUAGGUGAGUUUUAUCUGGUAUCACUUUUUGACAUGGACAUGUACCAUAUGAUUGUUGAGUUUCAUCUGAUUUCACUUUUUGACAUGGCCAUAUACCAUGGGGUAUAGUAUUUAUGAAGAGUGGCUUGGAAAUUGCAAGUAGAUGGUUACUCUAGCCGUAUAGCUUAUUUAAUUAGGAGUGAGAUGCUUGCUAAGAUGAAUGGUGUUUCUGUAAGGGCAGACAUAUUCCUAGCACUGGAUUAUGCACAUGUAUAUAUGGAUACUUCUGUACGAAUGCAGCUCACACUUACCACGGUCAGAAGAGUCUUGCAUGGAUAUAUCAUGUGAUGUGACACUGGAAUAAUUGGCCUGGAGUUCACCAGCGUGACCGAGCGCAGUGCAACGGAGCUGUUCAACACGUGUUGGCACAUGACUGCCAUGGAAGAGGAUCUCGCUGGAACGCUGCCGUUUCUUCAGUUUGGAAUUUUGUUAACAAUUCUGUAACCUUGAUUGCGCUGAGCAUAAGCAGGAUCUACGCAUUAUUCUGUUGACUUUGCUCACUCCCGAAAAGAAGAGGACUAUGGACCUGAGUGGGAAUGGAGGCAGGAUAUUCUUCUGGAUGGCUAUGCUGAGGUGGUGGUUGGUCGGAUCCAUGGUGUAGGCAAAGUUGGUCAGCAUGGUGGAGUUGUGCUGUGGGGAAGACCCUGGAUUAGAGAUCUGCGCGGCUAUCUGCGUGCUGGGUGGAUCAGUGUAGCCCACCUCGGGGUGGAGGCAAGCGGCGCUUCACUGGUGCCUCGCCAUGCCACAACAGUGGCCUUCACAAUGUUUAAUCAUAAGACCACUAUUUUUGUGUCUAUAUGCAGUGUUCACUUCGUCUAUAUCUUGGCAAUGUUUAAUCAUAAAACCACUAAUUUUGUGUCUAUAUGCAGUGUUCACUUUGUCUAUAUCUUGGCAAUGUUUAAUCAUAAAACCACUAAUUCUGUGUA